rnacentral:rRNA from 1 species
AGAUUGAACGCUGGCGGCAUGCCUAACACAUGCAAGUCGAACGGCAGCACAGGGGAGCUUGCUCCCUGGGUGGCGAGUGGCGGACGGGUGAGUAAUGCAUCGGGACCUACCCAGACGUGGGGGAUAACGUAGGGAAACUUACGCUAAUACCGCAUACGUCCUACGGGAGAAAGCGGGGGACCUUCGGGCCUCGCGCGGUUGGACGGACCGAUGUUCGAUUAGCUAGUUGGCGGGGUAAUGGCCCACCAAGGCGACGAUCGAUAGCUGGUCUGAGAGGAUGAUCAGCCACACUGGGACUGAGACACGGCCCAGACUCCUACGGGAGGCAGCAGUGGGGAAUAUUGGACAAUGGGCGCAAGCCUGAUCCAGCAAUGCCGCGUGUGUGAAGAAGGCCUUCGGGUUGUAAAGCUCUUUUGGCGGGGAAGAGUAAUGACGGUACCCGCACGAAUAAGCUCCGGCUAACUUCGUGCCAGCAGCCGC